AAACUGCGAAUGGCUCAUUAAAUCAGUUAUCGUUUAUUUGAUAGUACCUUACUACAUGGAUAACCGUGGUAAUUCUAGAGCUAAUACAUGCUAAAAACCCCGACUUCGGGAGGGGUGUAUUUAUUAGAUAAAAAACCAAUGCCCUUCGGGGCUCAAUGGUGAAUCAUAAUAACUUAACGAAUCGCAUGGCCUUGCGCCGGCGAUGGUUCAUUCAAAUUUCUGCCCUAUCAACUUUCGAUGGUAGGAUAGUGGCCUACCAUGGUAUCAACGGGUAACGGGGAAUUAGGGUUCUAUUCCGGAGAGGGAGCCUGAGAAACGGCUACCACAUCCAAGGAAGGCAGCAGGCGCGCAAAUUACCCAAUCCCGACACGGGGAGGUAGUGACAAUAAAUACUGAUACAGGGCUCUUUUGGGUCUUGUAAUUGGAAUGAGUACAAUUUAAAUACCUUAACGAGGAACAAUUGGAGGGCAAGUCUGGUGCCAGCAGCCGCGGUAAUUCCAGCUCCAAUAGCGUAUAUUAAAGUUGUUGCAGUUAAAAAGCUCGUAGUUGAACCUUGGGCCUGGCUGGCCGGUCCGCCUCACCGCGUGUACUGGUCCGGCCGGGCCUUUCCUUCUGGGGAACCGCAUGCCCUUCACUGGGCGUGUGUGGGAACCAGGACUUUUACUUUGAAAAAAUUAGAGUGUUCAAAGCAGGCCUUUGCUCGAAUACAUUAGCAUGGAAUAAUAGAAUAGGACGUGUGGUUCUAUUUUGUUGGUUUCUAGGACCGCCGUAAUGAUUAAUAGGGAUAGUCGGGGGCAUCCGUAUUCAAUUGUCAGAGGUGAAAUUCUUGGAUUUAUUGAAGACGAACUACUGCGAAAGCAUUUGCCAAGGAUGUUUUCAUUAAUCAGUGAACGAAAGUUAGGGGAUCGAAGACGAUCAGAUACCGUCGUAGUCUUAACCAUAAACUAUGCCGACUAGGGAUCGGGGGGUGUUAUCAUUUUGACCUCCUCGGCACCUUACGAGAAAUCAAAGUCUUUGGGUCU
rnacentral:rRNA from 3 species